GACAACGCUGGCGGCGUGCCUAACACAUGCAAGUCGAACGAAGCACUGCGGAAAGAGACUUCGGUCAAUUGAAGCUUUGACUUAGUGGCGGACGGGUGAGUAAUGCAUGAGCAACCUGCCCUGGAGAGGGGGACAACAGCUGGAAACGGCUGCUAAUACCGCAUGAAGUUGCGGGGAGGCAUCUCUCUGCAACCAAAGAUUUAUCGCUCUGGGAUGGGCUCAUGUCUGAUUAGUUAGUUGGCGGGGUAACGGCCCACCAAGACUACGAUCAGUAGCCGGACUGAGAGGUUGAACGGCCACAUUGGGACUGAGAUACGGCCCAGACUCC
rnacentral:rRNA from 1 species